UACGAAGGGGGCUAGCGUUGUUCGGAUUUACUGGGCGUAAAGCGCACGUAGGCGGAUCGAUCAGUCAGGGGUGAAAUCCCAGAGCUCAACUCUGGAACUGCCUUUGAUACUGUCGAUCUGGAGUAUGGAAGAGGUGAGUGGAAUUCCGAGUGUAGCGGUGAAAUGCGCAGAUAUCAGGAGGAACACCAAUGGCGAAGGCGGCUCACUGGCCCGAUACUGACGCUGAGGCACGAAAGCGUGGGGAGCAAACAGG
rnacentral:rRNA from 1 species